AGUGAACGCUGGCGGUAGGCCUAACACAUGCAAGUCGAACGGCAGCAUAGUAAGGGCUUGCUCUUACGGGUGGCGAGUGGCGGACGGGUGAGGAAUACAUCGGAAUCUACUUUUUCGUGGGGGAUAACGUAGGGAAACUUACGCUAAUACCGCAUACGACCUACGGGUGAAAGCAGGGGAUCUUCGGACCUUGCGCGAUUGAAUGAGCCGAUGUCGGAUUAGCUAGUUGGCGGGGUAAAGGCCCACCAAGGCGACGAUCCGUAGCUGGUCUGAGAGGAUGAUCAGCCACACUGGAACUGAGACACGGUCCAGACUCCUACGGGAGGCAGCAGUGGGGAAUAUUGGACAAUGGGCGCAAGCCUGAUCCAGCCAUACCGCGUGGGUGAAGAAGGCCUUCGGGUUGUAAAGCCCUUUUGUUGGGAAAGAAAAGCAGCAGGUUAAUACCCCGCUGUUCUGACGGUACCCAAAGAAUAAGCACCGGCUAACUUCGUG
rnacentral:rRNA from 1 species